rnacentral:sRNA from 1 species
UGAUAUUGAUACCUUCAACAUGACAGCC